rnacentral:lncRNA from 1 species
GGCCACACCAUGACUUUCUCUCCUUUUAUCCCCAUAGCAGCCAUUGAUGCAGAGGUAAUCUUUGCAGCAUGAAAUGGUGCAUUGUCAUGCAUGAAGAUUUUACUACGUAAAGCAUAGUUCUUCCUUCUGUAUCAGGGAAGAAAGUCGUCAGUCACAAACUCCACAUUCUUUGCAGAGGUAAUCUUUACACCUUCAGGGACCCUAAAGGGGCCGACCAGCUCUCUUCCC